rnacentral:rRNA from 1 species
AGCAUUUGCAGAGAGAGUUAUGAGGACGUGAAACCGAUGAGAUGGAAACGGACAGAGCUAGCGUAUCUGGCUUGCAUUCAGCUUGCGCAGUCGCUGCCCAUGAAUCGCUGACCUCCAGAUUGGGGCUGUUGACUAGUGGGCCGGUGGCGGUGUAGUGCAUUUGCAAGUGGAGUGCGUCGAGGCGCCCGGGAUGGCGGAAUGAACUAGGCUCUGAGGCCAGCUUGCUGGUACCCGGGCUUGGGGAUUUCUGUUCGUUCUGAGCGUUCCCACGAAUGGACAUGGCUUUGCGAGUUUGGUUGGGUGCCGAGUCGGGGGCCGGUGGCGGUCGCAUGCGACACGUACUGUGCACUCGGUUCGUGCCUGGCCCGGCUCCUCCACUGUUCAAUCUCGGCGUAAAAGCUGGUCAUCUUUCCGACCCGUCUUGAAACACGGACCAAGGAGUUUAUCGUGUGCGCGAGUCAUUGGGCGUUCAAAACCCAAAGGCGCAAUGAAAGUGAACGUUUCCAUUUCGGAGCCGACGUGCGAUCCUGGUCACUGCGGUGGCCAGGCGCAGCAUGGCCCCAUCCCGACUGCUUGCAGUGGGGUGGAGGAAGAGCGUACGCGAUGAGACCCGAAAGAUGGUGAACUAUUCCUGAGCAGGAUAAAGCCAGAGGAAACUCUGGUGGAAGUCCGAAGCGAUUCUGACGUGCAAAUCGAUCGUCUGACUUGGGUAUAGGGGCGAAAGACUAAUCGAACCAUCUAGUAGCUGUUCCCUUUCCGAAAAGAACUUCCCGGGGUGUAUCCCCCCCAGGGUUGUCCUGGACGUGUGUCAUGGUGUCGACCCACAUCGAAUUGAUGCUGGAUCAGUGACUGAGUAGGCCUUGGGUGGCUGGGCUGGCUACGGCCCAGACCAGAGGUUGCCGUAGGCAAUAGGUAUCUCAUCUUAGAUCACCCUCUCAAUAAGUUGGAAUCAGGGUCAUAUCUGUGCCAGUGUGCAUUGUAAUCUCUCAUGCUUCUCACAGCCUCCAGCCAGAACCACAAGGGUCCAGCUGGGGAGCACAAAGAGUGGCUAACUCCCUCCAAUUCCAUAGGUGGCUGCAAGGCAAACCGCCUCCGGUCAGGAGACCCUUUUAGCGAA